rnacentral:lncRNA from 12 species
GUCCCAGAUGCAUUCAAGAGACUUAAUGAAUUGCAGCCAGGGGUGGGAAUGGUGGUGAAGGAUGCUGCAAACUGCAUACCUCUGGGUUGUGUAGUGGGAUUUCCUGAUGACAAAGUAGAGCAUGAAUGUGGGAUUGCCAUCUUGGCUCCCACUGAAACUGCCCAGCUUACUUUAAAGUCAGCAUCAGAGAAAGUGAAGGACUUCAGUCACAGGGCACAUGAUAAGGAGCAAAACAAAAGAGGAUGAUUUCUCACUUUUCAGGAGAAGGCAAAAA